CACUCCUGAGUCCCCAGGGCCACCUCUGGGCAUUGGUAGCAACACCCCAGAGAGGCUGGAGUCCUGGAGACAGGACUUUGAGCUCACCGUGGCCAUUCAGCUUCCUGUUUUAAAUUGUGAGUCAGGCAGGGAGGCAUAAGCCACUGAAGCCCCCAGAUGGCCUGUGCAGCAGUUCACUGGAGCCUUUCCCUGCCAUCUUGUCACCAGGGAGGGUGCUGGGAAGGCGGAGUGUGAGAUCAUGAGUGCAGAAGGAACUUCCAUGUCAUGGUUCAGACAUGCUGGGCACUGUGCAAGGUGCCUCCGUGCUUUGCCACUGGCUUCCGGGGCACAGCUGACGCUGUCCAGGUGUGAAGAUGAUGGGAGUGGAAGAAGUCCGUGGCUGGGCUCGGGAUAGACUCCAGGUGUGUGUUCUCCUAACCUGACAGUGGCACUUGGCUGGCUCCUUCGCGUAGUGAGGUACAGAAGGCAGCAGGACAGGGGACUCUGGGCAGCAUGGGAGACCAGACCCCAUCCUCCAUCACCGCCUGGGGUUGGGGCUGAGCCUGGGCUCAUAGCCUUGUGCUGCUAGGCAAGUGCCCCAGUAACCUGCAUCCCCAGCCCUCAUAGCCAUCUUUGAGGGGUGGUUUCAAUCUCUCCCAGCACCCAGCUCCCUCCCCUCUUCCUAGAGGCCCCUGGCAGCAGGGCCCCAGGCCAAGGAUGAUCUUAUGGCUAAUUUAGGAUGCUUGCUGUGAAGCAUGGAUCUCUUUUUUCUAUUUUCACCACCCUGGGCCAGGACUGGGGGCCCCCGCCUCCAGGGGACCAGAGAGGGGUGACUUAAGGUGCCAGGAGAGGCAGUGGCCAAUGCUCACAGUCCAGCAGGGGAGGCAGGCAAUGCGGAAACCAACAAACAAACGUGAGGACCAUUUAGAUAGCGAUAAAUACGCUACACAGAAAAGGGGGACAGAGUGGCUGAGUGGCCAGGGAAGCCUGCAGAUGCCAUGGGGGUGGGGUUGGGGGGCGUUGUCGAGCUGAGACCUCUGCAGGCAGAAGGGCAAGUGGCUCGUCCAGGCAGGGCCAAGCAGUAAGUUCUGGUGCAGCCAGCCAGGACCUCACUGGAUUCACAUUCUAAUGUUCUCCCUCCUCCUACAACCCUCCCUCUCUAG
rnacentral:lncRNA from 1 species